rnacentral:lncRNA from 13 species
GGGUGGGAGUGGCUGCUGAUCACAAGGUUUCCUCUCGGGGUGAUGGGAAUGUUCUGGGGCUAGAAAAAGGGGUGGUGGCACCACACUGUGAAUGUUCUAAAUGACACUAUAGAUGGAACAAUUUAAACGGUGAAAAGGGAAAACUUUAUAAGUAUUUUACCACAAUAACAACAAAAAAGAAACAGGAAGGAAAAAAUUUUUCAAUGAGCAAAAAUUUAAAAUAAGAAAAGCUACCAUGAAUAACUUCAGAGAGAGAAAAGAAAAUAUUGUAUUCAUGAAACAAAAACGGUAUUCCUCAAAAAGCUCUUGGCAGUGAAAAAUACGAUAGCAUAACUGAAAAAGUCCAAGGCAAAAGUUGGAAGAGAAAGGUAAGAAAAUCUUCCCAGAACAGAAGAGAACAAAACUCCAGACUUCUUAGCAGCAACAUUGGGGGGCUAGAAAAUGCAGAGAAAAGCUGGAGAUCGUGAACAAAAGGCAUCUCCACCUGAGAAUUCUCAACUCAACAAGACCAUCCAUCAAACAGGAGGGUUGAAGAGAGACAUGCUCAGGAAUUCAAGGGGUCAAGGAAUACACUUCCCAUGUACCUUUUCUCAGAAAGCUGCUGCAGGAUGUCCUCCACCAAACCAAGGAAGCAGAAACAUGGUAUCUCCUACUGGGUGGAGGUGGAGACUCCAGUCAGCUCAACUGGGUGCCUGCAUCAAAAGCAUCGCCCUGAGUUCUGCCUUCACCUUCACGUGGCAUUCCCCGCCAGGUGACUCUGUGAGUUUCCAUGACCGUCAUCUUGUAUGGACACCAGUCGUAUUCAAUUAGGGGCCUGCCCUACUCCAGUAUGACCUCAUCGUAACUGAUUACAUCUGCAACGACCCUCGCAUAAGGUCAUCUUCAGAGGUAUUGGUGGGGGUGGGGGGGUCAGGAUGUCAACGAAUCUUUCUCUGGAGAACACAGUUCAACCCCUGACAACCUGAAAGUCCACCCCCCGAAACUCCAGCACCUCCGAGAAUCUCUUGCUUUUUUUCUGGAAACCCACAAUGACUGACCUGGAGAAAGCAGGGUCCUCGUCCAUCCCAGCAGCACACUCUCCUAAAGGGCCUCUCCAAAGCCCUGGCUUUCACGGUUUAAAGGAGCCCUAACAUCGUAGCUGUGGUUUUAAUUAAGGGUUGAUGGGCCGUGUCGUGACAUCAUCAAUAAAAUGAGCAUAAUAAAAAGAAAUAACUUAAUA